rnacentral:rRNA from 1 species
UUAGUGGCGGACGGGUGAGUAACGCGUGGAAAACCUGCCGUAUAUUGGGGGAUAACACUUAGAAAUAGGUGCUAAUACCGCAUAAGCGCACAGCUUCGCAUGAAGCGGUGUGAAAAACUCUGGUGGUAUACGAUGGUUCCGCGUCUGAUUAGCUAGUUGGUGGGGUAAUGGCCUACCAAGGCAACGAUCAGUAGCCGGCCUGAGAGGGUGAACGGCCACAUUGGGACUGAGACACGGCCCAAACUCCUACGGAAGGCAGCAG